rnacentral:rRNA from 1 species
AACGAACGCUGGCGGCAUGCCUAACACAUGCAAGUCGAACGAGACCUUCGGGCCUAGUGGCGCACGGGUGCGUAACGCGUGGGAACUUGCCCUUAGGUUCGGAAUAACUCAGUGAAGUUUGAGCUAAUACCGGUUGAUGUCUUCGGACCUAAGAUCUCUCGCCUUUAGAUGGGCCCGCGUUGGAUUAGCUGGUUGGUGGGGUAAAGGCCUGUCAAGGCGACGUUGCAUAGCUGGUCUGAGAGGAUGAUAAACCACACUGGAGCUGAGACACGGCCCAGACUGCGACGGAGGAGAGCGGUAGAGAGUAUUAGACGAUGGGCGAAAAUCUGAUACAGCAGUGCCGGGUAAGAGAGGAAGGCCUUAGGAUUGUAAAGCUCUUUUACCCGAGAUGAUAGUGACGGUAACGGGAGAAUAAGCUCCGGCUAACUCCGUG